rnacentral:rRNA from 1 species
UGGGGAAUUUUGGACAAUGGGCGAAAGCCUGAUCCAGCAAUGCCGCGUGUGUGAAGAAGGCCUUCGGGUUGUAAAGCACUUUUGUCCGGAAAGAAAUCCUUGGCUCUAAUACAGUCGGGGGAUGACGGUACCGGAAGAAUAAGCACCGGCUAACUACGUGCCAGCAGCCGCGGUAAUACGUAGGGUGCAAGCGUUAAUCGGAAUUACUGGGCGUAAAGCGUGCGCAGGCGGUUUGCUAAGACCGAUGUGAAAUCCCCGGGCUCAACCUGGGAACUGCAUUGGUGACUGGCAGGCUAGAGUAUGGCAGAGGGGGGUUAGAAUUCCACGUGUAGCAGUGAAAUGCGUAGAGAUGUGGAGGAAUACCGAUGGCGAAGGCAGCCCCCUGGGCCAAUACUGACGCUCAUGCACGAAAGCGUGGGGAGCAAACAGGAUUAGAUACCCUGGUAGUCCACGCCCUAAACGAUGUCAACUAGUUGUUGGGGAUUCAUUUCCUUAGUAACGUAGCUAACGCGUGAAGUUGACCGCCUGGGGAGUACGGUCGCAAGAUUAAAACUCAAAUGAAUUGACGGGGUCAUAGCUGUUUUCCU